rnacentral:lncRNA from 1 species
UCCCUCCUCUAUUCAUAGUGUCUCAGAGUAGGAAUGUUCAACCAGGUUCAGGUCCCCUCCUCCCUCCUCUAUUCAUAGUGUCUCAGAGUAGGAAUGUUCAACCAGGAUCAGGUCCCCUCCUCCCUCCUCUAUUCAUACUGUCUCAGAGUAGGAAUGUUCAACCAGGAUCAGGAUCAGGGUUCCCCUGAUGAAAUGUAGGGGAGAGCGUGAUGGAAGAGGUGAAAGGUAGAGAGAGAGUGACGGAAGAGGUGAAAGGUAGAGAGAGAGUGAUGUGAAAGGUAGAGAGAGAGUGAUGGAAGAGGUGAAAGGUAGAGAGAGAGUGAUGGAAGAGGUGAAAGGAAGAGAGAGAGAGUGACGGAAGAGGUGAAAGGUAGAGAGAGAGUGAUGUGAAAGGUAGAGAGAGAGUGAUGGAAGAGGUGAAA